CGCUCUUUCGCCCAGGCCGGACUGCAUGGCGCUAUCUCAGCUCACUGCAAACUCCGCCUCCCAGGUUCACGCCAUUCUCCUGCCUCAGCCUCCCGAGUAGCUGGGACUACAGGCACCCACCACCACGCCCGGGUUCGGAAUUGGCCAUGGCGAAGUGUUAACUGUGCUGCUGUCUAAUGUGGAAUGUAGUGGCAGAUGAACCUGGGAAGAGGAGAAACAAGAAAAGGGCUAAAAGGGGGAGAGAUGGUAGAAGAAAAAAAAUACGGUGGAUACAGUGGAACCACCAGGUGGCGCCAUGCUACAAUAUGACUCUUGGAAGUCUCCUUUUAAAGAGAGAGCAAGGGACCACAAGAGAAACCUACCAGAAAAUACAAAUGGUCCAACUCUGAAUGGGAAUGGAAAACAUACCUGUACAAAAUAUGCACUAAAAAAAAAAAUCAAAAGUCUAACAAUAUAUAUUGAACAACUGUGUAUUACAAAGACUCCCUGGCAAGUUCUCAUCUGUUCUGACCAGUUGGUAUUUUCAGCGUUCUUCAUUCACUUUGGCCAUUUUGUCUAUCCACAAGAUCUCUGAAGAGAUCAGGUGUCCAAGCUUUGGCCCAGCAAACACAUUCUAGAAACUUCUUGCCAGAGAAGCAGCCAUUCUCAGCUCAGAAACCCGGAAACAGCAGCUGAAAUGUUUUACAUACUCCCUACAGAAGCAGCACCCAGAUGAAGCCCUGCGGGAGAGCACAGCAGCAGCGGAGGCUCUGGGAGAAGGCGUGGUGUCUAAGGCAAAGGACUCUGCCAGCUUACACAUUUAUUUGAAAGACACAGACAUAAAAAGGAUGAAUAUUAUGUUUAUAUAACUUAAAGCAAUGGUAAGAAAUAGGUAACUAGGUGAGGCUCUGAAGAUUUUGAAAGAAGUGUGUUACUUGCUUGCUGCUCCUUUAAGGGAGAAAAACAAAACAAAAAACAUACCCAUAAGCCUAGGAAUUCUUUCUGGGCCCCCAAGGCAGGUUCUCAGCUGCAUUUAACUGUCUAAAGCUACUGAACUCAUGAGUUCUAGUGAGUUGUAAAAGCUCUAAUGAACUCCAUAGCUUGGAUUUACAAAACAGAAAAUCUAGGGGUUAGAAUGAAGCACCGGUUUUCCUUUUCUGCUAAGAUUACCUUCAGCUUUCUUCAAUACCAAGAUCACCAUUCUUUGAGAACCUCCUUAUAAGAUCCCAGAUCAAACACUUGAUCUUACUCAGGGAGUAACUGUUUUCUUUAGUAAAUACAAAUAUUUUUUUUUCUUCUAGGCAUCAAAGGCAAACCAGAUAGAACAUUAAGAUGAUGGGCAUUAAAAAGAUGAGGUAAGGGUCAAAAUGAGCCUAGAGGUUGCAUAUAUCUACAAUAAAGUUUUUUUUUUUCCUUCCUGCAUAGAUGGAGCAGCUUCAUUGAAAAACACUUUUAUUUUUUUCCUUCCUGCAUAGAUGGAGCAGCUCAUUGAAAAACACUUUUAUUUUUUCAAAGAUUCAGGGUCUUCCUCUGUCACCCAGGCUGAAGUGCAGAGGCACCAUCGUAACUCAAGCUCACUGUAACCUUUAACUCCUGGGCUCAAGGAAUCCUGGGACAAGGUAUCAAAGGCAAACCCUCAUAGUCUGAGAAACAUUAUGAAAACCAAAAGUUAGUUAAGGUGCCACAACAUAAAAAGUCAGAUGAUGAGUCAUUUAAUGGUUUCAUUCUUACUGGACCAUUCUGGAUGGAGACAAUAAGUAGAAGGUAAAACUUCAAUGACUUGAGUUUGCAUAUAGUGUACUUCAAGCAGAGGGCACAGAAUUUCCUUUGUCUUUAUCAAUUUUGUAGAUUUUUGCAUCUUCAUAAAUAUUAGCAAUUUCUAGACUCUGAUACUCUAUUUUAUAGAUUUGUCUUUUUGUGGUUAUGUGCCCCUCCUUCAACAUUUUAUGCAUAUCCUUUAAAAACAUAAGCUCACAAUGUAAUUGCUCUUGGUCUACCAACAUCAGUUUCUUCAGAUACUUUUUCAUAGUUGGGAUUGUCAGAAUUUUAUUUUGCAAAGAACUUCAUUUUAAGCCAGUUUCUUUUUAGAAUCUUUGGAUAUGGGAUAAGGACAAAAGUUACCAGAAGUUUUGAAAUAGUCUUUCCUAAUAUUUGUCUUGACUUUUCUGUUUUUAGAAUGUUUUGUGGCAAUUCUCAUAAAACGAAACCUAACUCACCUAUUCUCAGUAUUCGACCAGCAAAACACCUCACUUACCUGUGCACAUGAUCUAAUGCAACAAAAAGUCCCUAACAGGUUACAUCUGGUGAGUAUGCAGACAUACAGAUCUUCUUUGUCUUAAAACAGGUUUUAGCUGUGGCACUGACAUUUUGGACCAAACCAAUCUUUGUUGUGGGGGCUGUCCUGUACAUCACAGGAUAUUUAGCAGCAUCCCUACUUUCCACUCCCCAGAUCCUGUACCACCCCUUCCUCAAGCUGUGAUAACCAAAACUGUCUCCUGACAUUGCUCUAAUGUCUCCAUGGGGAGCAAAAUCACUCCCUAUGGGAACCAGUGUCAUAAACCAUUUUAGAGGCAAACUAUAAACUAACUCCCCAAACUGUGAUGGUGGAAAUAGUCUAUAACUUCCUAAUACAGCAGCUGAUCACUACAUGACACUGCUAAGCACCUGAAAUAUGGCUAAGUAUGAGGAGAAUUCUUAAUUUCAUUUUAAUUAAGUCCUACAUAUACUAUAAGGACAAGAUGCUUCAUCAUGGAAAGCUGUGUAGAUAUCUGAUACCUGUUAAAAAUCAUGUGGUUGAUUGAUGAUAGGCAAUAAAAACUUACAGAAAAGGUUUCUGUAAGGACCACCAUGUUGUCCAGGCUGGUCUCAAACUAUCCACCCACCUCCACCUCCACCUCCAAAAGAGCUGGGAUUACAGGUGUGAGUCACUGCACCGGGCAUAAAUGUUUUAUUAGUCCUAUUUCUAUCCAUUUAAUUUUCAUUCUGUCUAGGUAUUUGUUAAAAGGUGAACUGUGAAGUUAAAGAUUACAAUGAUUGAUUGAUUGAUUGAUAGAAAUUUAAAUUCUCUUUUAAAUCAAAAAGUUUUAAGUUGUUUUUUGCAUGAUAGGAAUCAUGACUGAAAAUAUAAGAAUGCAAAAAAGGUGCUCUAACUGAAUUCUGGUAAAUAAUUCCUUCCUUGAAAGAAAAGAAAAAAACUAUACAAAUUUAAAGGAAAGGCCAACCAGGAUUGAAAGAAAACAUUUAUUGAAUCAAAAUCAAUACUUUCUUUUUAAUAUCUACAAGCCAACACAGAACUCAUUUUAUUCAAGAAUGAACACAAUGUACAAAAAAAGUAUGCUUAUAUUAUAAAAAUAUGUCAAUUUUAUCUUCUGGGUGCUUAGCAGAAGUCAUUUUAAACAAAAUCAAGGCAAACUUGUUCUCUAUAAUGAGUCUGCUAUAAUUUAACAACAAAGUGAAAGCUAAUGUACUCACGAAGUAUUUUUAAAGGCCCACUGAUAAUGCUGCACUGGAAAUGCUAAACCCAAUGGUAACUAAAGUCAACAUUUCCGCUCUAUGCUUAUUGGCACCACUUCAUGCCUACAUCACGGGAAAGUACCUCUUUCACAGAAUGCAGAUCACCGCUAACAAUCCAUGUGACUCAGUCUUCAGUUUCCCUUGCUUAACAUUUGUUGUUAGCAUAUAUUUCAGCAAAGAUUAACAGUAUAAUGAAUGUUGAGUAGUAAAAUCCUAUUUAAUGAGCUUCAAUUUAAAAAUGAGAUAUGCUGCUAUGGGAACAAAUGACCUCUUGAGAUUUACAACCCCAUUUAUAAAUGUGGGAAAGCUGCCUCCCUAAAAAAAAAAAAAUUAUGUCCAGGGUUAAACCGUAUCUUUUUUUGUAGUUUUCUUAUUUCUUGAUUGAUUUUAUUGGCACCUCCCAGGCACUUUGGCUUGUGCUCCUGUAUAAAGUGUAUUACUGUGCCUGUAGAGUUAGUGGCAGCUGCAGAGUAGUUAUAGGCUGACAAGUCCACUUUUGGCUUACCAUGGAGAUCUGCUCUAACACAUGCUGGUCG